rnacentral:sRNA from 1 species
AAGCUCAACAGCGCUCCAUUAGCGAGCAACACGCUUUGAUUCGGUGCAAUAAAUCCUCUUCUCCUUCGCUCACCCAGCCUAUCCCCCAAUAAAUCCAUGCCUUCAAGCCACUUGGCACAACCACUGCAUAAUCCCUCUCAACAUACAUAAGGCAACGCCUCCAACGAUGAAGGCGGUGCCUCCCGAGAGAACGGGACCAGGACAAAGGCGUCCUCGCUAGCUUGCUAGCGGGACGCC